rnacentral:rRNA from 1 species
CCCUUAGAUGUUCUGGGCCGCACGCGCGCUACACUGAUGCAUUCAACGAGUCUAUAACCUGCUCUGAUAGGGGUGGGUAAUCUUUUGAAUGUGCAUCGUGAUUGGGAUAGAUGAUUGCAAUUUUUCAUCUUCAACGAGGAAUGCCUAGUAAACGCAAGUCAUCAGCUUGCAUUGAUUACGUCCCUGCCCUUUGUACACACCGCCCGUCGCUCCUACCGAUUGAAUGAUCCGAUGAAUAUCAUGGAUUGAGGAUGCAAGCAGGUUCGCCUGUCUUCAUCUUCGAGAAGUGAAGUAAAUCUUAUCAUUUAGAGGAAGGAGAAGUCGUAACA